GACGAGGUUUCGGGAUUAUAAGUCACGGCAGCAUAAGAUGCCUCAUGUGACCCUCCCAUGCAGGGGUUGCAAGUCAGGCAUGUGCAGCACACAAUAGAUAUUAGCCAUGCACUCUCUUCAUUUCAUAGUAGAUCACAGAAUCAAGAUACGGAAAGGAUUUAAGGCAUUGAUCAAUACUAAACAUAAAUAUUUGACCAUCAAUGAUAUUUACGCACACACAGAAAAAUCUAUUCAGAGUGACUUACGCAAAGGUUUAUAUAACCUUUAUCCAAGGUGAUUUAUAUAGUAAAAUUCAUGGCUUAAGUCUUUAUGAUGGUCAAGGCCAUAAUUUGAAAGAUUAUCAAAAUUUUUUUCUUUUUAUAUACUUGAAUUUAUUUUUAAAGAAAAUGUACAAUUUCAAUCUUUUUAUUAUCUUUGCUGUUCUGUCCUCCCUGGAUGGGUGCUGACACAUGAUUUGUUGCCUGGCUGGUCCGUGGUUGCCAUCUCACCAUGUGGAUGGAGUUCGGCAGCUGAAAACGCAUUCUGCCACCAAGAUGAUUUUCACACUCUAGUUUGAUCAUGAGCCCCAUAAUAAGCUGCUUCAGAUUGUAAUAUAGACACAGUAAUGUAUGCCUCCAGGCUGAUUCACACCUUCCUCGUUAGUCUUGAGGUUUGAGAUUCCCUGUUUGUGUCUGCAGGAUUCAGAUAGUAAUGGAUAUCCUGCAAUCCGACUUCAUAGAGUCUCCCUUGAAAGUGAACCUCGUGAUCUAGCCUUUGUGUCCAUGGAUAGACACUGUGAUGGAUAACCCCCAAGUUGGUCUUGACCUUCACAAUCUGCUCAUUGUGUUCAUAGGACAGAGAUGGAUGCCCUCAAUGGAAUUUGCACAAAUGGAUUUUCUGCAGCUGAUUUUCCAUAUUCAGUUUUCUUCAGACCAGAUGCCUUCCUCACUGGUCACCAGGUUCAUGGUCCCUCAUGUGUCAGGAGCACAGUCACCAAUAAAGGCCAACUUCAGAUCAGUGGGUGGAUCCUAACUCGUUCCAAGCUCAAGGGUUGAUUGUGCUGUUAGAGUCACAGCUACAACCGGCUCAGGGAAUCCAGUGGAAGAGGAGGUAGAGUGGAAGAGCCAAUUGGAAUGGAAGACACUGAGGUAACAAGGCCUUCAAGAUCCAAGAGGACUGAUGAGCUCACAGAGACUGAGGCAGCACUGAGGACCUGUGCAGGCCUAAGCUUGAUGGGGUCUCAGCACUGAGGGGAAGUGGACACAAUUCUAUAUGUGGAGUGUCACUGGACAUAUAAACUACCCUUAGCAGCAGGCUCCAUGGCCCAGACGGCCAACACGAGAUGAACUCAGUUGCAUUUUUGCAGGGUUUUGUGACUCACAGUGCUUUGUCUGGGUACCUCUUUACCCUACAGAGAAUUUCUGUAUAUAUUAUUGUUUCUGAUUGUAGUUUUUUGAAUUUUCUCUGGGUCUAAAUAUAUGUGUUUCGGUGGCUGUAUGUGUUCCUCAUGAUUUUUCUUUGCCUCUUUUAUUCCUAUUCUUCUUUGCUUGUACUCCCUGGUUUGUGUUUUAGUCUCUGCGAACUCUGAGGAUCUGGUUGGUAAGAUUGUUGUUCUUCCUACGGGGUUGCAAACCCCUUCAGCUCCUUCAGCCCUUCACUAAGUCCCCCAUUAUUGUGGUCCCCUUGCUCAGUCCAGUGGUUGGAUGCGAGCUACCCCCUCUGUAUUUGUUAGACUCUGGCAGAGCCUCUAAAGAGACUGCUAUAUUAAGCUCUUGUCUGCUUUGUUUGUUUUUAUUCUGUCUUCUUUAUACUUUUUAUCUUAGAUGACUGUUUUUAAUCUAAUGUAAGAAUGAAUAAAUGGGUGUGUGUUUGGGUGGAUGGGGAAUUGGGGAGGAUGGAAGGGGGUGAGGGAGGGAAAACUGUAAUACAAAUACAUUGUAUAAAAGUACAUUUUAAUAAAUGUAUUUCCUCUAUGAUUAAAAAAC
ensembl:processed_transcript